rnacentral:rRNA from 1 species
AGUGAACGCUGGCGGUAGGCCUAACACAUGCAAGUCGAACGGCAGCACAGUAAGAGCUUGCUCUUACGGGUGGCGAGUGGCGGACGGGUGAGGAAUACAUCGGAAUCUACUUUUUCGUGAGGGAUAACGUAGGGAAACUUACGCUAAUACCGCAUACGACUUACGGGUGAAAGCAGGGGAUCUUCGGACCUUGCGCGAUUGAAUGAGCCGAUGUCGGAUUAGCUAGUUGGCGGGGUAAAGGCCCACCAAGGCGACGAUCCGUAGCUGGUCUGAGAGGAUGAUCAGCCACACUGGAACUGAGACACGGUCCAGACUCCUACGGGAGGCAGCAGUGGGGAAUAUUGGACAAUGGGCGCAAGCCUGAUCCAGCCAUACCGCGUGGGUGAAGAAGGCCUUCGGGUUGUAAAGCCCUUUUGUUGGGAAAGAAAAGCAGCAGGUUAAUACCCCGCUGUUCUGACGGUACCCAAAGAAUAAGCACCGGCUAACUUCGU